rnacentral:rRNA from 1 species
GAUGAACGCUGGCGGCGUGCUUAACACAUGCAAGUCGAGCGAAGCGCUUUGGCGGAUUUCUUCGGAUUGAAGCCUUGGUGACUGAGCGGCGGACGGGUGAGUAACGCGUGGGUAACCUGCCUCAUACAGGGGGAUAACAGUUGGAAACGACUGCUAAUACCGCAUAAGCGCACAGUACCGCAUGGUACGGUGUGAAAAACUCCGGUGGUAUGAGAUGGACCCGCGUCUGAUUAGGUAGUUGGUGGGGUAACGGCCUACCAAGCCGACGAUCAGUAGCCGACCUGAGAGGGUGACCGGCCACAUUGGGACUGAGACACGGCCCAAACUCCUACGGGAGGCAGCAGUGGGGAAUAUUGCACAAUGGGGGAAACCCUGAUGCAGCGACGCCGCGUGAGCGAUGAAGUAUUUCGGUAUGUAAAGCUCUAUCAGCAGGGAAGAAAAUGACGGUACCUGACUAAGAAGCCCCGGCUAACUACGUGCCAGCAGCCGCGGUAAUACGUAGGGGGCAAGCGUUAUCCGGAUUUACUGGGUGUAAAGGGAGCGUAGACGGCAUGGCAAGCCAGAUGUGAAAGCCCGGGGCUCAACCCCGGGACUGCAUUUGGAACUGUCAGGCUAGAGUGUCGGAGAGGUAAGCGGAAUUCCUAGUGUAGCGGUGAAAUGCGUAGAUAUUAGGAGGAACACCAGUGGCGAAGGCGGCUUACUGGACGAUGACUGACGUUGAGGCUCGAAAGCGUGGGGAGCANACAGG